CACUCCAUAAAUAUUUUUAAAAUUAUUUUUGAUUAUAAGUUAUAAAAUUUAUUUUUAAAAAACCCAAUUCACCUCUCUCUUGGGUUGCCUCCUCUAGGAAAUAGGUUGUCUUCCUUAUCCGGCUUUUUCAAAACCAUAAGGAGGAUAUAUUCUUUUCAAAUCGAGAUUCUUGUCUUAUUUGACUCAUUAUCUUCAACCCUCU
rnacentral:lncRNA from 1 species